UACGUAGGGUGCGAGCGUUGUCCGGAAUUACUGGGCGUAAAGAGCUCGUAGGUGGUUUGUCGCGUUGUUCGUGAAAACCGGGGGCUUAACCCUCGGCGUGCGGGCGAUACGGGCAGACUUGAGUACUGCAGGGGAGACUGGAAUUCUCGGUGUAGCGGUGAAAUGCGUAGAUAUCGAGAGGAACACCUGCGGCGAAGGCGGGUUGCUGGGCUGACACUGACGCUGAUGCGCGAAAGCCAGGGGAGCGAACGGG
rnacentral:rRNA from 1 species